CCCGUAAGUCUCGUUUACUUUCACUUUCGAUUUACCACUUCCGGGUACAUCGGCAGACUUAUUUACCGUUACGCAUAUAGGUAACCCGAAGAACUCGAGAGAUAUAGAAGUUAAAUUUGUUUUGGUUCUCUUCAGAUUUGAAGGAAUGGAAAGCACGGGUCAAAAAUGCAGAUGUGUAGACAGGGAGGUAUAUGACAAGUAUAGAAUAUACAGUUGUUCACUAUGGACCAUUAAUCAACUGUUUGCACUGCCUAUGAUCCUGAAAUAUCUAUUCAUCAAAGAUAAAAAGGAAAAAGAUGGAUGAGAAUUUGUCCAUGAAGACCUUUAUUGCAACUACCAUCUUCCAGUUCCUUAAUUUGAGAAUGAUAUCAGAGAACACACAGUUACAGUGAAAUAUUAGUUUAAUAUAAGCCACUGAGAAUAGUCAAAUGUACUUUCCUGAAGAAGAUGAAUGACAUCCAGCUCAAAAAUCUUAAUUUUAAAAGAGUAUGAUUUUAUGGUGUUUGACACUAUGAUUCCAUAAUCUAGUUAACUUGUUAAUGUCACAAUGAUAGAAACAGAGUGAAAUAUCCACAUUUCAUUGCAGUUUUAAGUAUUGAAACAAGAUACUCUAUAUAUACCAAAGUAGAAAACACACCAGAUAUAAAUAUUUUCAUGGCAUAUGUCAUUAUGGACAUUAAAUGACUUUGAUGUAAAGAUGAAAAAGAAAUAGCAAAAAUAUUAUAUAUCAUCUACUACAUGUACUAAUAUUGUGAGGUUAUCAUUGAUAAGCUCACAAAUUUGCAUUCAAAGCUUUGAUAUCAAGCUGACCAUUUUUCAAUUAGAAUAUGAUAUAACUAUGAUAAUUUGUUCAUGUAAAUUUUUAAAGUCUUUACAUUUGUAAAAGGAAAUAUUCUUAUUCUUGUAUCAGUAGACAUUCACUGUGUAAAGUUACAUUGUCCAAAUAACUAAUAAUAAUUUCAAGUGCUUUCCUGAAGUUUUUCUUCCACUGGAAAAUCAGUGUGAUAUAUUUGCAAAGCAGUGCACUAUAAAUUGUGUAAAAAUAAAAGUUUAUCAAACUU